AUUUGUUAUUUCGACGAGAGGAACUUCACGUGUGAAGCAUCAUCAGAAAAGAAAUAAAAUGACCGCCAAGAAGUUGUCAAGGAUAACCAGACGGACAACACCUUUCUAUCUACUUGCUAUUCGCCCUGUUUCGGACACGUGUAAUAAACUGUUACUGAAGAAUGAGGGAAGACGUGAGUAGAAUGACAAAUCUAUGCCGUUUACUAUUGUGAUGCAGUCUGCCAGAGAAAGAGUUGGACCAAACAUCAAAGGAUUUGCACUUAAACUGAAAUUUAACUAGAUGUUUUCUUCAUAAACAAGGAUGUAUUGAGAAAUUUCUUGUUCCUCCAAAGCGGUCCAUUUGCUUAUGCAGAACUUGUGUACCAGUACAAGUGGCCAGCACUAUAAUAUAUGGCACAUAAAACUAAAAUCACGAAUACCACAGGUACUUGACCCGUUGCCAGUCGAAGAAAGAAAUCUUCCAUGACAAAUUUAUUUUCCCCUAAUUUUUUAUGCUGUUAUCUUUCUGUUGGAAACACAUGAGAAGUGAUCUAAUGUUAACAGGAAAGUGUGAUGAUUGUUACUGCAAAUCUACAGAAACUGGUGAGCUGUACGACUGGCUGCUAACCACUCAUCUUGAGUAUUUGAUCUCAUACAACUGUCAAAUUGUAUAAGAACUUUAUUUUGUCAGCUUCAGAAAUCUUUCAAUUGUUGAGAAAAUUUUUACUUACUUU